GGACCGCUAAUACCGCAUACGUCCCUGGGACCUCGGUCCUGGGGAGGAAAGGCCCGGCAAGGGCCACUGGAUGAGGGGCCUGCGUAGCAUCAGCUAGUUGUGGGGUAAUGGCCUACCAAGGCGAAGACGCUUAGCUGGUCUGAGAGGAUGAUCAGCCACACUGGGACUGAGACACGGCCCAGACUCCUACGGGAGGCAGCAGUGGGGAAUAUUGGACAAUGGGCGCAAGCCUGAUCCAGCCACGCCGCGUGAGUGAUGAAGGCCUUCGGGUCGUAAAGCUCUGUGGGGAGGGACGAACGGCGCCAUGAAGAGUGGCGAUUGACGGUACCUCCUUAGCAAGCACCGGCUAACUUCGUGCCAGCAGCCGCGGUAAUACGAAGGGUGCAAACGUUGCUCGGAAUCAUUGGGCGUAAAGCGCACGUAGGCGGCUUUCUAAGUCGGAUGUGAAAUCCCUCGGCUUAACCGAGGACGUGCAUCCGAAACUGGGAGGCUUGAGUAUGGAAGAGGG
rnacentral:rRNA from 1 species